ensembl:lncRNA
CCUCCUGUUGUUUUAUUUGUAAUCCACAAUCCUCGGGUUAAAAGCCAGUAUUAUGUUAAUCCAUAUAUCCAUGUUUAUGGUUGCUGGGUUUCUUUUCCAGUCCAUCAUCAGUACAGCAGCCUCGGGCGUGACAUUAUGACGCUUUAUUUUUCAUUCCUGUACCGGAAUCAGGCCUCUUUCCUCUUCCGCAGUCUGAUCCGAACGUCUCCUUAUUGUAUUUCUCUUGCUGUCAAGCACAGCCCGUGUAUUGCGUGUCCAUGGAUCGGACUGUCAGUUCAAGCAGACUUUGUAUCCAGAUACACCGGCUGAACAGGAGAGGGGGUGGAGUCGAGUGCAUUGCCGUGGGGCGCCUGGAGCCUAUCCCAGGAAACUCAGAACACAAGGCAGGGGACACCCUGGAUGGAUUACAGAGCACAAUCACACAUGCACUACGGACAAUUUAGAGAUGCCAAUCAACAUACAACGCAUGUCUUUGGACUGAGGGAGGAAACCGGAAUACCUGGAGGAAACCCCCAAAGCAUGGGAAGAACUUGCAAACUCUGCGCACACAAGGCGGAGGUGGGAAUCAAACCCCCAACCACGGAGAUCAGAGGUUCUUUGCCCGAAGGAAUCCCUGUCUUACACAGUUUAAAGUUUUCUCUACUGCUGACCAAUGUUCCUCCAUGUGGCUCAAUGUGGCUUUCAUAAAAUAAGAAAAGCUUGAUGCUGUUAUGAGAGUCAAGUGCAGGGGUGGGCAAUCUU